rnacentral:SRP_RNA from 1 species
GCCGGGCGCGGCGGCGCGCGCCUGUAGUUCCAGCUACUCUGGAGGCUGAGGCUGGAGGAUCGCUUGAACUCAGGAGUUCUGGGCUGCAGUGCACUAUGCCAAUUGGGUGUCUGCACUAAGUUUGGCAUCAAUAUGGUGACCUCCCAGGAGUGGGGUACCACCAGGUUGCCUAAGGAGGUAUGAAUCGGCCCAGGUUGGAAACGGAGCAGGUCAAAACUCCUGUGCUGAUCAAAUGGUUCAAGAAAAGAGCUAUUUGUAUUGUAUGUGCAAUUUUCCUUUUUCCUUUUUUUCUUUAAGUGUUGAUCCUGUUUUAU